ACACGCUUCUCUUCUUCUUCAAUAUAGUAAAAUACUCGUUGAAAAAAGUUCAGAGCAAAAGCUAAAGCAAGCGUCACUCCGUCUCAUCUGAAUUUUCACAAACACUAAUCUGUAUGUAUAUGUAUAUGUACGUGUAGAGAGACUUGGGAAUGAAGGAUGAUUCAUUUGAGGCAGAAAAGACAGCACCAUCAGCAACAGAGACCGAGGCUUGACCGACGGAACGCGAUAAAGAACAUUGAUUACGAUGCGGAUGCAAGCUCGUUUUCUUCACCUUCCUCCUCGUCGAAUUCCUUUGACGAACCGUCGGUCCACAAGACUCGAUCGCUCGACGUCUUGCCACUAUCUGAUCGAACCAGCUUCCGAGUCGAAGGAGUUGAUGGAGAAUUUGAUCGAAUUUGUAAAUCUUUAGGCCUUUCGGGACCGGAGGACUUCUCGAUUCCUGUGGCGGCUUGGGAGGCUCGAAGGGCUUUGUCUCCUUCAAGUAAUUUGAAAACUCCGGGGUCUAUCGAUCGUUCUGUUUCGGAUGAAUUAUCGGAACGUUUUGAAGCUGUGAUCAAGGUUAGUGAUGCCGAGUUGAAGGAUGGAGUUCAUUUGAACUUGAAUAAAACUGUAGCUACGGUUAAUAAUGGUGGUUGGGACAUUAAAUUUGAAGGCAAUAGGCCGCUAAAAUUGGCGCCUCCACCGGUAAUUAUGCGGUCAGUUGUGGACAAUACAAGUUCUACUUGGGAUAUAUUGCGGGGUUUUGGUCCUCAAGAUGAUCGAGACUCGAAUUCACCUCGUGAUGUCGCUACUAGUUUGGUGGAUGAGCCUGAAGAAAAUGAAGAGGUUAACAGGAGCGAAAUUGUCGGAAAGCAAGAAGUAAGCGAGGAGAGUGUGAAGAAUGUAACCACGGUUGGUUUGGAAUCGUGUUCAGAUUCGACAAACGACGAGAAUUAUGAUGAUUUUGUUGGCUUGACUGUGGAGACUAUAUACUCUGUCUCGCUGAAUGGUUCAUUCAAGUGCGACAUCAGCUCUUGGCAGAAGGGUGACGUUCUCGGCAGUGGGUCAUUUGGAACGGUGUAUGAGGGCUUCACUGCUGAUGGAUUCUUUUUUGCUGUAAAGGAGGUUUCUUUACUUGACCAGGGUAGCCAAGGCCAGCAAAGCCUUUUUCAACUUGAACAGGAGAUAUCCCUUCUAAGUCAGUUUCGACACGACAAUAUUGUUCGCUAUCUUGGUACUGACAAGGACAAUGCUAAACUCUAUAUCUUCCUUGAGCUUGUAACCAAAGGUUCACUCGCAAGACUGUACCAAAAGUAUCGAUUACGAGACUCCCAAGUCUCUGCAUACACAAGGCAGAUUUUGAGCGGGUUGAACUAUCUCCAUCGCAAGGAUGUGGUCCACAGGGAUAUCAAAUGUGCCAAUAUAUUGGUCCAUGCAAGUGGGUCUGUGAAACUGGCAGAUUUUGGAUUGGCAAAGGCUACGAAACUAAAUGACAUAAAAUCUUGCAAAGGAACACCGUUUUGGAUGGCUCCAGAGGUCGUGAACCAAAGGAACCAUGGCUAUGGGCGUGCUGCUGACAUAUGGAGCCUUGGUUGCACUGUUUUGGAGAUGUUAACUGGUCAAAUCCCUUACUCUCAAUUGGAAGGGAUGCAAGCAUUGUUCAGAAUUGGACGGGGUGAACUACCUCCUAUACCCAAUACCUUAUCAAGAGAUGCUCAGGAUUUUAUUCUCAAAUGCUUACAAGUUAACCCUGAUGAUCGGCCUACUGCUGCUCAACUAUUGGAGCACCCAUUUGUGAGGAAACCACCUUCAACAUUCCCAAGUCCUGUAUCUCCAACUAUCAUGGCAUGCUCUAAAAGAACUUGCUGUUGAGAGAAUCGGGGAUUAAAGAUAGGAGACAAGUGUCAUACGGCUUAGACUUCAAGAAGCAAUGAUCAAAUGUGAAGAGUCACACUAACUGUUUCAGCAUGUGUUGCUUUACUAGAACACAUAACUUAUGGCCUUCAUUGACCUUUUGUAAGACAAUGAUUGCAUCUUAUGAAGUAGAUUAGCCAUGCUUGUGAGGGAUGUUCAUACAGCACCAAGAAUCUGGUAUUAAGAUGCGUGCGGUGCGAUCCAAUCCAUUUGAUUUGGAGUACAAGAUUUGGAAGAAGAAACUCAAGCUCUUGAAUGGUUGUUCUUACGGUCGAGUGGCUGCUGGACUGACAGGAGCAGUCGGGAAAGGACCACUCGGUCCAGAGGAUGAUUCUCGAGACUCAUGCUUCGGAGGACAAGCUCAAUUAUCUCAUGUUGGCCCAGGUUCAGCUUCCCCUCGAGGAUGCUGAGAACGAGGCAAGACAUUAUGAGGAUGGCCGUUCGGAUUUUGAAGGAUUUGGCUGCGCUGACGGCAAGGAAGAAAUUGGGAAUAGCUAUUAAUAUUGGGUUUGAGAAUGGAAAAAACUUGUUAGGUUUAGCAUUGGCUUUUUGGCACCGUGGAAUUGGGUCCUCAAAAUUGUGGUAGAAAUGAUUCAUUUCAUUCAAAUAUGAAUUGUGUUUCAUUAAGUCCAAUACCAAGUGAUGCAACAAGGAAACAAUUAAAAGUCUAUUCAAGCCGAAAGACUAAUAAUUAGUAGAAUUCGAGUUUAUUUAGUAGUUUUAUUUUGAUAAUGUUCUCUUUUAUUUUCAAGUUUGUUUAGAUAAGAAGUUCAUUUAAUUUCAAACUCCUUCCUAUAUAAAGGGGUUUAAGACAAUGUUUAUGGACACACUUGAACUAUAUGAAAAAAGUAUUUUUUGCCCUCAAUUCUUCCCUUUGAUCCCCUUAUUUCUUAUUGUUCCUUAUCAAUUUGUAUGCUUCUGCAUCACCAAGGCUGCAAGCUUAUACUGCCAAACAUGGAAUUCUCGUUUUCGCAUGCCACGGAAAAAAUAAAAAAAAUAGGAACCUGUGGUUGUGGAAAACAGCAAUCGAGCUGGUCAUUGCAUAAAAACUGAUGAAUCAGAAAAUAUCCCCAUUCGUGAGAUUUGUGGAGAUGGAAACGUUGCAUGCAUGCACCUUAAAUUUGUAUUUAUUAAAAUAGUAAUUGGCUUGUUAUUUUCAGUAGCUUGGUUUGUAAGGAUUUUUAAUUAAAGAUG